rfam:Babjeviella inositovora NRRL Y-12698 unplaced genomic scaffold BABINscaffold_21, whole genome shotgun sequence.
GUUUAGAUAGCUCAAUGGUAGAGCGAUGUACUGUUAAUACAUUGGUUGAUGGUUCGAUUCCAUCUCUAGGCG